rnacentral:rRNA from 1 species
GACGAACCGUGCGAAUGUUGUUCGGAAUCACUGGGCUUAAAGGGCGCGUAGGCGGGUCGGAAAGUCCGCGGUGAAAUCCCCCCGCUCAACGGGGGAACGGCCGCGGAUACUGUCGGCCUCGAGGGGGGUAGGGGCGAGCGGAACGCUGGGUGGAGCGGUGAAAUGCGUUGAUACCCAGCGGAACUCCGGUGGCGAAGGCGGCUCGCUGGACCUUCACUGACGCUGAGGCGCGAAAGCCAGGGGAGCGAACGGG